GGUCCUUUGUUGCGAGUGGUUAGCAAUCGGUCUGCAAAACCGAAUACGUGGGUUCGAAUCCCACAAGGGCCUC
rnacentral:tRNA from 1 species